rnacentral:rRNA from 1 species
UUUGACGUUCUGGGUUGGACUAAAUCCUUUGGGAUAAGGUAUCAUAGAGGGUGAGAAUCCCGUAUAUACCAACCGUAGGGAUGUUAUUAAAUACGUUUCUAAGAGUCGAGUUGUUUGGGAAUGCAGCUCUAAAUGGGUGGUAAAUUUCACCUAAUGCUAAAUAUAAGCGAGAGACCGAUAGCGAACAAGUACAGUGAUGGAAAGAUGAAAAGAACUUUGAAAAGAGAGUUAAAUAGUACGUGAAAUUGUUGAAAGGGAAACGAUUGAAGUCAGUCAUGCCGGUGGGAAUCAACUUAGGGGAAACUCUAGGUGCACUUCUUCGCUUGGCAGGUUAACGUCGAUUUUGAAUGUCAUAAAAUAAUUGGGGGAAGGUAACUCCCUCGGGAGUGUUAUAGCCCUUGAUAGAUGUGAUGUUUGGGGUCGAGGAUUGCAACGGAUACCCUCUGGGGCUAACCGCCUGAUCUCUAA